rnacentral:rRNA from 1 species
AGUGAACGCUGGCGGUAGGCCUAACACAUGCAAGUCGAACGGAAGCACAGUAAGAGCUUGCUCUUACGGGUGGCGAGUGGCGGACGGGUGAGGAAUACAUCGGAAUCUACUUUUUCGUGGGGGAUAACGUAGGGAAACUUACGCUAAUACCGCAUACGACCUACGGGUGAAAGCAGGGGAGCUUCGGAGCUUGCGCGAUAGAUUGAGCCGAUGUCGGAUUAGCUAGUUGGCGGGGUAAAGGCCCACCAAGGCGACGAUCCGUAGCUGGUCUGAGAGGAUGAUCAGCCACACUGGAACUGAGACACGGUCCAGACUCCUACGGGAGGCAGCAGUGGGGAAUAUUGGACAAUGGGCGCAAGCCUGAUCCAGCCACGCCGCGUGGGUGAAGAAGGCCUUCGGGUUGUAAAGCCCUUUUGUUGGGGAAGAAAAGCAGCAGGUUAAAACCCCGCUGUUCUGACGGUACCUAAAGAAUAAGCACCGGCUAACUUCGUG